UUACUGUGAUCUGGGAAGAACAGGGGAAGACAGAAAAGGCACGUCUGUGGGAUGGGAAGGGAUCUGCUUGCUUCUUCGGGAGUACUGCUCCAUUACAAUUGGAAAUAACCUAGCCCUACCUCUGCCUUAGUGGUGGUUUUUCUAGUUCUCUCUGGGCACGUGGAACCCUGGCACCUAGGUCUAGUCAAGGGACAGGAUUUUUCCUGCCUUCGGUGGUGACAAACCCUGAAAACGACUGCGAAAUGCUAUUGUAACAUGACUGCCCAGUCCCACAAAGGCUUGGCGUGUCCUUAGUCACCGCACUCACGGGCAGCCCGCAGUAAAUCUCAGCAUUGACUUUCUGUGGCCAAUGUGAGCAUCAGAUCAGAGGUGGCUGUGCCUUUCAAGCUUGUCUUCUCACCAUUAUCUCACGGAGCUUCUUUCAUAGCUGACUGGCAGAUCUUAUACCUACUAAGUACUUACAGAGCUGCCUUGUCACAUGGAGUGGGGGCCACACUUUGUCCCUGUAGACUUGAAGGGUUAGACUGCUUAUCCCUUAAGACCCAAGUAUUUUGAAAUUUGGGACUUUUGAAUUUGUCUUCUGUAGUAGAUUGAAUAUGGCUUAAUUGUGAGUCCCAACAUCUGAUGGCAGGCAUUGUAAUCUUUUCUCUCCCAAAGAACUGUAAAGCCCCAGCCAGCUCUGGUACCAGUGAAAAAGUCUUGUAUAUGAGACUUGACUUUCCUUCCCUGGAAGAUGCUGUUAGGAGAGCCAAGGGCCGAGUCCCUUCCUGCUUCUUCUCAUUAGGUCCAGGCAAGGGAGGGCCCAGAAGUGCUAAUUCUCUGUCUGUUCUGCACCUAGACCAGUGUGGUUAAUUACAUUGACCAGAGGCCGGCCGCCGAGAAGAAUACUCAGUUAUUCUUUGUGGUCUUUGAAUGGAAAGAUCCCUUCAUCCAGAAGGUCCAGGAUAUCAUCACGGCCAAUCCCUGGAACACCAUUGCACUCCUCUGCGGGGCUUUCCUUGCCUUAUUUAAAGCAGCAGAGUUUGCCAAACUAAGUGUGAAGUGGAUGAUCAAAAUCAGGAAACGAUACCUAAAAAGAAGAGGCCAGGCAACAAACCACAUAAGCUGAAGCCGCCAUGUCCCGGCACUCCGAACCGACAGAAGCCUUAUUCUCCCAUGGACAAACCAAGCCACCAGCAAUCCUGUACUCACUUGAAGGGACCUUACAGGGAAGGACAGUCUUUCAAACUGGAUGGUCAAACCUGGCUCAGGAGGUUGUUCGAGCCCACAGGCAAACAUCCAAUGAAUAGCCUGAAACUUAUUUAAGUACUUAAAUUAUUAACAGACAUUUUACAGAGCUGUCUAGUGCCUUGGAGGGGGUUUGUGGAAGGCAGCUUUUUCUCAUUUGUUCAUUAAAUAGUUAAGCUCCCUCUUUACCUUAGAUUUUUUUAUUUAAAGUGGACAGAUAUGCCCUGUAUACAAAAUUCGUCAUGACUUUUACACCGUCUACUGUUGUUACUUAGCAACUUGUCAGAGUCUAGAUGACACUUUUUUUUUUUUUAAUGUAGCCCUGGUGGAACUCAUUGUUUAGACCAGGCCUGCCUCUGCCUUCCCAUUGCUGAGAACAAAAGCCAGUACCACAGUGCCUGGUCUUACAUGAGACUUUCAAGGCUACUAGAAACUAGUGAUGACAUUUGUGAUGGGCUGUGUUGACGGAGGUGUGAGCUCAGUGGUCGCUGCUGGAAGCACUUGCACAGAUGUGUAUAGUAGGUGCCUACUUAGUGUACCUUGAUUUCAUUAACAGGUAAAUAAAGUUGGGCUAAUACAAAAGGAGUGAGUGUGAAUACCCUAAACUGGACGUGUUCACACUGUGACCACCCACCCAAACGGCACCACGGUGGCUCUGACCCGAGGUCUGUCACCACUGCUUCCAGAGAAGGUAAGCUGGACGUACCACACUAUGAAUAAGCUGCUUAGGAGGUCACUGUGUCCUGAAGAAACACUCACCUAAAAUGGUGGCCUUUAAGGCUUUGACAAAUAGCACUUAUCUAAACCAAACCCUGUCUUUUCCAAAUUGUGUGUCCAGAGGGAAUAUGGUAACAUUCAAAGAAUGCACAAUUAGGCCUUGGGGAAUCUGAAGGGAACUGCUCACAUGGAUAAGUUAGGCAUUUUUGUCUCCAAAUUUAGCAGCAAGAAACUGUUUUGGCUGAAUCUCUCGAAAUAAACUUGUAUAAUGAAACA